rnacentral:rRNA from 1 species
CAGUCGCCGCGGUAAUACGUAGGUGGCAAGCGUUGUCCGGAAUUACUGGGCGUAAAGCGCGCGCAGGUGGUUUAAUAAGUCUGAUGUGAAAGCCCACGGCUCAACCGUGGAGGGUCAUUGGAAACUGUUAAACUUGAGUGCAGGAGAGAAAAGUGGAAUUCCUAGUGUAGCGGUGAAAUGCGUAGAGAUUAGGAGGAACACCAGUGGCGAAGGCGGCUUUUUGGCCUGUAACUGACACUGAGGCGCGAAAGCGUGGGGAGCAAACAGGAUUAGAUACCCCAGUAGUCCCUGUCUCUUAUAC